UUCCAGGAGGUAUGGCUUUGGCUGAUGUGAAACAGGCUUUCUACAGGAAAUGCAAUAUUCCCAAUACAGUUGGCACUGUAGACGGAACUUUAAUAUCAAUUAUAGCUCCGUCACAAAAUGAAGAGGUGUAUGUCUGUAGAAAAACUACCAUGCAAUUAAUGUUCAAGCUGUGGUAGAUCACAGAGCAAGGUUUAUUGACUUGGUAGCUAAAUGGCCAGGGUCGACACAUGAUGCAUCCAUCUUUGACAACUGUGGACUCAAGGAACAUUUAGAAAGACACGAACUUGGUCACCUCCUAGGUGAUUCUGGAUAUCCACUCAGAAAAUACCUUCUUACGCCAGUAACAACUCCAACCACUGAGAAGGAAGUACGAUUCAACCAAGCUCAUUCAAGUGGCCGGAUGGUGGUUGAGCGAGCAUUUUGAAUGCUAAAAUCUAGAUUCAGGUUUUUACUUUUUAUUUUUACUUAAUAUUAUAUCUGAAUUCAGCAAAGAUA
rnacentral:lncRNA from 1 species